CUUUUUGUGCAUAAUGUAUAUUAGGGGGGUGGUAGUACUCUUGGGGUAGAGAGGCAUGUGCUGGGAUGGCAUGCCAAGGCAUGUGCUGGGAUGGCAUGCCUUGGUGUGUGCUGGGAUGGCAUGCCAAGGACAAGGAUGUGCUAGGAAGGCAUGCCAAGGCCAAGGCAAGCACAUGCAUUGUGAGCGAGAUGAGACGGUUGUCUUUACCCCAAGAGUGCCCAAGGGAGAGGAAAGAAGUGUCAAACGCAUGCUGAGCCCCACUUCGGUAGUUUGGCACCCCCAUAGGCAUUCAGGCAAGCGUGCCUAUGGGUAAAGUCGAUAGAGCUUGUCAGCCAUGUUGGGUACUAUUGUUUGGACGAGAUGAUGGCACACGUCAAGCUUGCUUUAAGGUAACGUUCUGGCAGCACAGCCAGCCCGCAAUUGCUAGUUCAAGCGGGUGGAAUCUGCCUAUAGGGGCGUUGCUUGCUUGCUUGCUGUGGAAUUGGGCAUGCCCAAUAUGUAUCAUCGACCCACGUAGUUCCUGCAUGGCCCCAUAGGUAUUCAGGCAAGCGCGCCUAUGGGUAAAGUCGGUAGAGCUUGUCAGCCAUGUUGGGUACUAUUGUUUGGACGAGAUGAUGGCACACGUCAAGCUUGCUUUAAUGUAACGUUCUGGCAGCACAGCCAGCCCGCAAUUGCUAGUUCAAGCGGGUGGAAUCUGCCUAUAGGGGCGUUGCUUGCUUGCUUGCUGUGGAAUUGGGCACGGCCAAUAUGUAUCAUCGACCCACGUAGUUCCUGCAUGGCCCCAUAGGUAUUCAGGCAAGCGUGCCUAUGGGUAAAGUCGCUUGAGCUUGCCAACACCCAUGUUAGCUGUGGUCUGGACCGAUGAUGGCACAAGGAUGCUUGCUUUAAGGUAACAUUCCGGCAGCACAGCCAGCCCGCAAUUGCUAGUUCAAGCGGGUGGAAUCUGCCUGUAGGGGUGUUGCUUGCUUGCUGUGGAUUUGGGACACGCCCAAUAUCUAUCAUCGACCCAACGAACUGCUCAACAUGGGUUGCUGAGGGCUAUUUUGGCACUGAUGGUUCACUUGUUUGCUUGGCUCUGAUAAACGUUUAGAUGUCAUGAUGCUUGGGAUCCAAUAAAUUUAUGUGGGAAGCUGAGAGCUGGAACCCAAUCUCAUUCACCAGAUGGCUUAGCUUCGUCAGUGUGUAUAAUAUGUCAUUGAACCCCAAUCCUUGAUGCCAACCUGAUUAUGACUUUUGGAUUGCAAUUAUCAUGGCUAUCAAAAACUGAGUAGGAGUCAUGGAAUAAGUGAACAAUUUGUAGCUUUUAUAGCUGUCAGCUUUCGCAUCGCCCGGUGUGUUUUGGGAAUCGCUUUGUGCGUUUGGUUGCCUGCCGUGCCUCUUGGCAUACGGUGGGUGCCACUUGCCGGGUGGUUUUCGGAAACAUCCACCGUAAAGGUGCAUGAGUGGUGUUUGGUUUGUUACGGGUGGUUGGCUCUUUGCUUGCGCAACAACUUCCACCCGACUUACCUCUUCAGAUGUUUGCCUAGGCUUGUAUAGCCUAAGCAGAUUGUGGGUUUCCUGUGUUGCCUACCUACGUCACGGAAUUGUCCCGAUUGAUCAAAGUUGCUUUCGUCUUGUGCCGUCUUGAUGGCAUAAGAUGAACCAUGAAGCUGUCUCUUUGCACCGCAUUGUUAAUGCAUGCGUUGAUGUUGUGGCCCAUUGAGCAUUGCUUGGUACCUUGGAUACAGAACCUUAUGUGGGCAUGGGUCCUUGGGGAUCCUUGUUCUGCCCUCGUUUAGCGUUCGCGCUUCUCUUAGAAUGACUGCCUAGCCGGAAUGGCAACCCAUUGCGGAUGGGCAUCGUCAAAGAGGAAUGC
rnacentral:misc_RNA from 1 species